ACUUCACUGGUGAAAUGCAAAGGGGAGGUCCUUCCCCAGGCCUGGUGGAUGGAGGCUCUGAAACACUCUGCAUUACAAAUGAAGAAGAAUUCGUGGGCGGUGAUGGAGGAAGGAGGGGAGAGGUGAGGAAAAGGAGGGGUGAGAGGGAGAGGGAGGGGGCCGGCCGCAGGGUGACGGGUGGCAGCCUGGGGCUGUGCAGAUGUGGGUGGCUGAGAAGGGCACUAGGGUGGGGGUGGCUGGAGGAAUUUUAAGUGCUGUGAUGAAAUGGGCACCCUUCUCUGCCCUCCAUCGCCAAGCCCUACACCUCUGCGAAGACUGUGACACAUAAAGUCCUGUGUCACCUUUAGAUCUGUGCCCGCAGAGAGAGCCUGCUCCAGCCUCUUUGCUACAGCCUUGAGUCUUCUGCUAAGAAAAGACACAGAGGCAAAGAGAAACACAUAGAGAGGAGAAUGCCUCGUGAAAAUGGAGACCGAGAUUGGUGCAAUGUGUCCACAAGCCAGGGAAUGCCAACGUGGCCAGCAACCACCAGAAGCUGGGAGAGAGGCAUGGAACAGAGUCCUCGGAGCCUCCAGAAGGAACCAACCCUGUUGAUACCUUGACUGAAAACUUCCAGCCUCCAGAACUGUGACAGAAUUAAUUUCUGUUAUUUAAAGCCAUUCAGUCUGUGGUAAUUUGUUACAUCAGCCCUGAAUAGCAAAUACAGAUGACCCAGGUUUAAAUCCUAGUUCUGCCACUUAUGAGCGUGGGUACAUAACUACUUUCUAGAGCCCCGGUUUCCUCAUCUGUAAAAAACCUCAUACGGUUAUUAAGAAGAUCAAAUGAGAUACAAACAUAAAUUCUUAACAGUGCUGGCAUGUUAAUUGUUCAAUAAAUAUGAGUUAUUUACAACAAUUGUGAUAGUAAUGAGUAACACAGAGAAAUGAGAAUUGACUUAACAGAGGCUGGCUCGGCAAGCCUCUAUGCCAACAAAAUUUAUUUGGAAAUCAAAAGUAUUUACUUCAGACUGGGCGCAGUGGCUCACACCUGUAAUCCCUGCACUUGAGGUCAGGAGUUGGAAACCAGCCUGGCCAACAUGGUGAAACCUCAUCUUUACUAAGGGAGGAGACCACCCCUCAUAUUGUCUGCAUAUGCCCAGUUUCUGCCUCCAAAGAAAGAAGAAGUAAAAACUAAAAGGCAGAAAUGAAGUCCACAGGCAGACAGCCCGGUGCCACACCCUGGGCUUGGUAGUUAAAGAUCGACCCCUGACCUAAUCAGUUAUGUUAUCUAUAGAUUACAGGCAUUGUAUAGAAAAGCACUGUGAAAAUCCCUGUCCUGUUCUGUUCUGUUAUAAUUACUGGUGUAUGCAGCCCCCAGUCACGUACCCUCUACUUGCUCAAUCGAUCACGACCCUCUCACGCAGACCCCCUUAGAGUUGUGAGCCCUUAAAAGGGACAGGAAUUGCUCACUCGGGGAGCUCGGUUUUUGGAGACGUGAGUCUUGCCGAAGCUCCCGGCUGAAUAAAGCCCUUCCUUCUUUAACUCGGUGUCUGAGGGGUUUUGUCUGCGGCUUGUCCUGCUACACUACUAAAAACACA
rnacentral:lncRNA from 1 species